rnacentral:rRNA from 1 species
GGUUAAGCGACUAAGCGUACACGGUGGAUGCCCUGGCAGUCAGAGGCGAUGAAGGGCGUGCUAAUCUGCGAUAAGCGCCGGUAAGGUGAUAUGAACCGUUAUAACCGGCGAUACCCGAAUGGGGAAACCCAGUGUGAUUCGUCACACUAUCAUUAACUGAAUCCAUAGGUUAAUGAGGCGAACCGGGGGAACUGAAACAUCUAAGUACCCCGAGGAAAAGAAAUCAACCGAGAUUCCCCCAGUAGCGGCGAGCGAACGGGGAGGAGCCCAGAGCCUGAAUCAGCAUGUGUGUUAGUGGAAGCGUCUGGAAAGGCGCGCGAUACAGGGUGACAGCCCCGUACACAAAAGCGCAUGUGCUGUGAGCUCGAUGAGUAGGGCGGGACACGUGGUAUCCUGUCUGAAUAUGGGGGGACCAUCCUCCAAGGCUAAAUACUCCUGACUGACCGAUAGUGAACCAGUACCGUGAGGGAAAGGCGAAAAGAACCCCGGCGAGGGGAGUGAAAAAGAACCUGAAACCGUGUACGUACAAGCAGUGGGAGCACCCUUCGGGGUGUGACUGCGUACCUUUUGUAUAAUGGGUCAGCGACUUAUAUUCUGUAGCAAGGUUAACCGUAUAGGGGAGCCGGAGGGAAACCGAGUCUUAACCGGGCGUUAAGUUGCAGGGUAUAGACCCGAAACCCGGUGAUCUAGCCAUGGGCAGGUUGAAGGUUGGGUAACACUAACUGGAGGACCGAACCGACUAAUGUUGAAAAAUUAGCGGAUGACCUGUGGCUGGGGGUGAAAGGCCAAUCAAACCGGGAGAUAGCUGGUUCUCCCCGAAAGCUAUUUAGGUAGCGCCUCGUGAAUUCAUCUCCGGGGGUAGAGCACUGUUUCGGCUAGGGGGCCAUCCCGGCUUACCAACCCGAUGCAAACUGCGAAUACCGGAGAAUGUUAUCACGGGAGACACACGGCGGGUGCUAACGUCCGUCGUGAAGAGGGAAACAACCCAGACCGCCAGCUAAGGUCCCAAAGUCAUGGUUAAGUGGGAAACGAUGUGGGAAGGCCCAGACAGCCAGGAUGUUGGCUUAGAAGCAGCCAUCAUUUAAAGAAAGCGUAAUAGCUCACUGGUCGAGUCGGCCUGCGCGGAAGAUGUAACGGGGCUAAACCAUGCACCGAAGCUGCGGCAGCGAACGUAUCACCCAAGACAACUUUACGGAGUUGACGAUUGACGGAGCGAAGCGACGUCAAAGCGUUCAUUAAAGUCGAGUUGGCUUAGGGAUACGUUCGUUGGGUAGGGGAGCGUUCUGUAAGCCUGUGAAGGUGUGUCGUGAGGCAUGCUGGAGGUAUCAGAAGUGCGAAUGCUGACAUAAGUAACGAUAAAGCGGGUGAAAAGCCCGCUCGCCGGAAGACCAAGGGUUCCUGUCCAACGUUAAUCGGGGCAGGGUGAGUCGACCCCUAAGGCGAGGCCGAAAGGCGUAGUCGAUGGGAAACGGGUUAAUAUUCCCGUACUUGGUGUUACUGCGAAGGGGGGACGGAGAAGGCUAUGUUGGCCGGGCGACGGUUGUCCCGGUUUAAGCGUGUAGGUGUGUGUUCCAGGUAAAUCCGGUUCACUUUAACACUGAGGCGUGACGACGAGGCACUACGGUGCUGAAGCAACAAAUGCCCUGCUUCCAGGAAAAGCCUCUAAGCAUCAGGUAACAUCAAAUCGUACCCCAAACCGACACAGGUGGUCAGGUAGAGAAUACCAAGGCGCUUGAGAGAACUCGGGUGAAGGAACUAGGCAAAAUGGUGCCGUAACUUCGGGAGAAGGCACGCUGACACGUAGGUGAAGUGAUUUACUCAUGGAGCUGAAGUCAGUCGAAGAUACCAGCUGGCUGCAACUGUUUAUUAAAAACACAGCACUGUGCAAACACGAAAGUGGACGUAUACGGUGUGACGCCUGCCCGGUGCCGGAAGGUUAAUUGAUGGGGUCAGCGCAAGCGAAGCUCCUGAUCGAAGCCCCGGUAAACGGCGGCCGUAACUAUAACGGUCCUAAGGUAGCGAAAUUCCUUGUCGGGUAAGUUCCGACCUGCACGAAUGGCGUAAUGAUGGCCAGGCUGUCUCCACCCGAGACUCAGUGAAAUUGAACUCGCUGUGAAGAUGCAGUGUACCCGCGGCAAGACGGAAAGACCCCGUGAACCUUUACUAUAGCUUGACACUGAACAUUGAGCCUUGAUGUGUAGGAUAGGUGGGAGGCUUUGAAGUGUGGACGCCAGUCUGCAUGGAGCCGACCUUGAAAUACCACCCUUUAAUGUUUGAUGUUCUAACGUGGACCCGUUACCCGGGUUGCGGACAGUGUCUGGUGGGUAGUUUGACUGGGGCGGUCUCCUCCUAAAGAGUAACGGAGGAGCACGAAGGUUGGCUAAUCCUGGUCGGACAUCAGGAGGUUAGUGCAAUGGCAUAAGCCAGCUUGACUGCGAGCGUGACGGCGCGAGCAGGUGCGAAAGCAGGUCAUAGUGAUCCGGUGGUUCUGAAUGGAAGGGCCAUCGCUCAACGGAUAAAAGGUACUCCGGGGAUAACAGGCUGAUACCGCCCAAGAGUUCAUAUCGACGGCGGUGUUUGGCACCUCGAUGUCGGCUCAUCACAUCCUGGGGCUGAAGUAGGUCCCAAGGGUAUGGCUGUUCGCCAUUUAAAGUGGUACGCGAGCUGGGUUUAGAACGUCGUGAGACAGUUCGGUCCCUAUCUGCCGUGGGCGCUGGAGAACUGAGGGGGGCUGCUCCUAGUACGAGAGGACCGGAGUGGACGCAUCACUGGUGUUCGGGUUGUCAUGCCAAUGGCACUGCCCGGUAGCUAAAUGCGGAAGAGAUAAGUGCUGAAAGCAUCUAAGCACGAAACUUGCCCCGAGAUGAGUUCUCCCUGAGACUUAGAGUCUCCUGAAGGAACGUUGAAGACGACGACGUUGAUAGGCCGGGUGUGUAAGCGCAGCGAUGCGUUGAGCUAACCGGUACUAAUGAACCGUGAGGCUUAACCUUACAACGCCGAAGAUGUUUUG